UUUAGGAACAGACAUACGCAGGCCUCACAGUUUCUACGAAUUUUUUUUCAACGGACGGUUGGGUUGGCCUUGUGUCGAGAGCGGACUUCGGACUUCAAGAUUCCACGAUGUGACAUUGUAACUGUACUAUAGGCAGGAAUAGUUCACUGCGGUCGUGUUUUUCACAUUCCAUGCACGUUUUCAUGAAGUGUUUCCUCCAUGGUCUCGAACACAAGUUUUACCGUCAAUUUUUUGGUGAUAGUGAUCACUUGCCAGCUAACUUUUGGACUUCCUCAAACCGGCCAGGUCUCUUCAAAGCAGGAAGACCACCAGAGGCCUUGGGUGGUGGUUCCAUGUUCUAGGCAGUGCCGAUGUUCUCAACAGAACCACUCCACAAAUAGACAAGCGCCCACAACGCCACAUGGUCAACCAAACCAGAAUCUAACAGCAGGGCUGGACUCAAAUUCGAAACCCGGUCAACGGCCGAUGGGGCUCCCUCCAAAAGUCCGAUCACCUUUGCGGCAAAAGAAGCAAGCAUCCCCUGCGAUGGCCACUCGGCGUAACGCAACGCCUGCGCUAAUCUCCAGGAUCUGGAAACUGCGGGGGUCACGUGACAUCCCAACGGUGUCCUCGGGAGAAUACGAUCAAGCUCUGACCACGAGGGGUUUCUUCAGUAACCUUUGUUCCGGCGGUGGAGGUGGAGGCGGCUCGCAAGCGCCAGUGGAGGUCAGAGCUGACGAUCUCCACACAAACCCUUCUCCACCACGAAUCCGCACGACCGCCGAAGGAGCUAGGCAAAGGGGAUUGUGCUAUUAUCUAAGACCGAAAAACUGGUGCAAAUGUUUCGGCAUCGUCUGAGAUGGGUCCUCAGCUUUAUUUUUAGGUACAAUGGAGAUGUUGCAUGUGUGAGGGAUUUGCGAUUUAACUGUUGUUUCUUAUGAAAAAGUUCGCGAGAUACAC
rnacentral:lncRNA from 1 species